rnacentral:rRNA from 1 species
CACGUAGGGGGCAAGCGUUGUCCGGAUUUAUUGGGCGUAAAGAGCUCGUAGGUGGUUCGGUAAGUCGGGUGUUAAACCCCCAGGCUCAACCUGGGGACGCCACUCGAUACUGCUGUGACUAGAGUCCGGUAGGGGAGCGUGGAAUUCCUGGUGUAGCGGUGAAAUGCGCAGAUAUCAGGAGGAACACCAGUGGCGAAGGCGGCUACCUGGACCGGUUCUGACGCUGAGGCGCGAAAGCGUGGGUAGCAAACAGG